rnacentral:misc_RNA from 1 species
UCCAACAUCUACAAAAAUAAUAAUUUCAACCUGCUCUAAGGCAAGCUCUUUCAAAUCCAAAUGUGAAUCAAGUAAAAUUUUAAUUCAAACAAAACAAACUCCAAUGCUGGCUUGUUCAUUUUGUUUGCUGGCCCAUACAAUGUUGCAUGUUAGUCCAAAUGGAAAAGCCGGAGUAGCGUAUUUAAAAAAUUUUCAGUAGAGCAUUUUACAUCCUCUGCAACGCCCAAAUAACUCAUUUUACAGUGAACUUGCAAAAGCUAUGAUCUAACAAGGACAUUCCAUGUCGAGUUGUCUCACCGCUAAAUGGGAGAAAAUAAUCCUCAAAUCACAAAUAAACAAAAUUAUUACAAAUGUAAAUCAGUGCUGAAUUGCCACAGGAUUGGAUAGGAGAGAAGUGAGGGAUUGUCAGCAAACACAUCACCAAUUCAUAAACCCAUUCAAAACAUGACUUCGUUGUAGUCUUCACGACAAAUAUUAACGUCAAACCCCUCAAUGCAAAUCCAUACACCCUCUAAACCAAAAACAACACAGUGCAUUAGUAUCUUCUCCUAGGACUCCUUGACCGAUGUGCUCGUCCUGAUCUGCAAAAAUUUAAACAGCACCGGGUUAUAUUCCCAGCCAAACAUGAAGAAAUAACAGAUAAACCUGUGAGGUGCUCAGGAUCUCAAGAAAGUCAUGUACAUACAUAGUCAAAAGACAACUCCUAUCAACACAUAAAAAAUGAAGCAUAUUGUAUCCAUUAUGCAGUCCACCCCUUUCUGGGCCACAUGUCAUGCACAGGCUAAGAGAUUUGCUUAAUUGUCCAGCACUGAAUCUAAGCCAUAAUCACCCAAUCCAAGAACUUCCACAUUCACAAAGUUGAAAGAUUUUUGAGCAUGUAGAUUAGCUUAGGCCUAAAAAGCCCCAUCAUUUGGAGAAAACUGCUUAUAUGGCCCUUCUGCAAAUUCUACUUUCCGGAACUAUAUGCAGGCUUAUACAUAAUUUAAAUUAUUAAAAAAGUUUAUGAAGAUGGAAAAUCCUAAAUUUAACAUGUUUAUCAUACUUCUACAGUUAGUAUAAUCAUUACUGGAGAGAUCUUUUUACCAUUUCACAGACAUUUUCCCUCUUAAUAACAGAGCAAAUACAAUUUAUACAAACAAACCUCAUGUUCUUUCUUCUGAUGGGUCCAUUGAUAAAUGCCCAAUCAACAUUGAUGAUCUGUGUCAGAAGUUCAGUUCCAUUCAUUGCAGCUAUUGCAUUCUGUGCUUCCUCAAAUUUCUCAUAUUCUAUCAGUGCAUAACCCUUAACAAACCCAGUUCGGCGAUCAAGAUUUAAAUGCAAAUUUUUUAUCUCACCAAAAUCACCAAAAGCAUUUUGCAAAUCAUCCUCUUGUGCCUCUUCAUGCACUCCAGUGACUAAAAUAAUCCAUCCUUCAAUAGCUACAAAGUUUUACAGGAAACAGAAAGUUUUUUGCUUACUACAAAUGUGAAUAGACGAAUUCAAUUGAAUAGAUUAUGGAAUUGCUAUCACCAGUUUGGAGGGAAAGAACAGUUAGAGUAACAAGUAAGAAAUCUUUGGCCAACAACAAAGCCUUAUUUUUUUCCAACAGAAUGAGGACUUCUAAUAUGAGUAUUAGGGUAUUAGGAUUCAGACUUCACAGUAAAUAGAUUUAUGAAUCAUCCAGAAUACAUGGAUGUUUUUAAAAACUUCCAAUUAGAGGAGCAAAUUUGGUAGGUUUAUGCUCAACUAACUUUGAGGUCGCAGUAGUUUCUAAAGCUUUAACUAAAGAGUUUCCUUGUCUUGAAGACAGGCAACAUACCUCCAUUCUCGACUUUGCAAGGUGGGAGGACAGAUCCUAAAAUUCAAGCAACGCAUCUUUGUAUAUGCAAGGGGGUACUAGGUUUCUGGUGGAUCAUGUAUAUGACUAAGCAAACUUAGUAUUGCUGGUCUGUAGCACAUCUGCUCCAUUACAUUUCUCUAACAGAAAAUCUGACUUCCACUUCAUUCUAGUCAUUUCCACUUACAGUUACCUAAAUCUCCUAGGCUAGUCUCCUAAUUUUUACUUAAUCAGAAGUGAAUGCAUAGUAAACCCCAUCAAAACCCUAUAUCAUCAUUAUCACUCAGAUUAUAACCUAAAGCCCAAUAACGAAUUAGAAUAGUUAGGUAUCUAACCGAGAUCAAUUGGUUUUUAUGAAACUCAUUGUUCAACUAGGCUCUUCAUAAAUUUACCUACCACAGAACUCAAAAUACAUCGAAAAAAAAAAACAGAUGAACAAUAUGCAAACGUAUUAGAAAGGGAUAAGAAUACUAACAUCGCUGAGGGCCAGG